rnacentral:lncRNA from 1 species
UCCGCGGCUAUGUACCGGUACAAGCCCGGUGGCUGUACCGGUACAACCAUCAACCUUGUACCGGUACAGCCAUCAGCCUGUACCAGUACACAGCCUCAGAAAAUGCAAUCCGAGAAUUAUCCAAAAAUCUGUUUUUUCGGGUUUUUGUGCUAGGCUUUAAACCUCACUUCUCGGGAUGCGAGCCAUAGGUCGGAACACUGUCAACGACCCACCAAAAAGUCUGGAAUUGCUCUGCACACAACCAACCACUCGAACCUCGCAAUUUGCAAAGGUCCAGUGUGUUACAUAUAU